AGCUUUGUGCAGUGACAGUAUCAUAGCCAAUAAGGUUUAUUGGAGGCACGAUUAUUGCUAAUUGAAGAAAAAAUAAAAUGGCUAUCUACAAGAAAUACCGUGCACUAAAAUCUGAUGUUAUUUUGUGAUA
ensembl:snRNA U4 U4 spliceosomal RNA